UGGGAUUGGGUACCAGGCGGCAGUUAUCGGGACCAGGAGGCACAUAAUCUGGGAUGCCAUCAUUGUCAUCAUCCCCAUCACACUCAUCUCCAAGUCCAUCGUUAUCAGAGUCCAGCUGGGAGCUAUUUGGCAGCUGUGGGCAGUUGUCCUUGGUGUCCUGAUGCCCAUCCCCAUCGCUAAUCAGAAGAACAGGUUGGUGAAAGUCCCGAACUUUGUCUCCCCACCCAGAGGACAACUGGCCAGGAAAUCUGCCUGUUUCUUGUCUCACCCUCUAGUCCACACUCUGCCUAACACUACGCCCUACCUCACAUUCCUAUUGACAUCUGCUGCAGGUAAUCUCUCCUCACCCAGGCCAACGUCCACAAGCCUGCCUCCCUAUUUCACAGAGACUUCCUAGCUUCCCUGCUUCAUCCCCACCUGAUCCAAAUUCUCACAGGUCCCCCAGCCACCCCUUCAGCCCCAGGCCUGCACCAUCCCCAUCCACGUCGUUGUCACAGGCAUCUCCUUCCCCAUUGCCAUCUGUGUCCUUCUGGUCAUUGUUGGGAACGUUGGGGCAAUUGUCACAGGCAUCACCAAAUGAAUCUGUAUCUGA
rnacentral:lncRNA from 1 species